UCCUUUGUUUUCACGAAACGACUGCUUAUAUUUUUCACACGCGCGAUACGUAUCUCUCGCGGUAUCGCGUCUCCAAUCGGUUACUAACUCGCUCAUUAAACUCAUAUACAUAGUUGCAAUUACGUGUAAUUAAUCCUCGCGACAACAGUGAUUCAGAGUAAUUAUUCAAUAUCAUCAUCGAGCUUGGAACGGAGGAUCGAGAGAGAGAUUAUUAGACCCGCGCAAAAGGUUUCAUCGGUUUUUAUCCUUAUGUUAUUUAUGGAUAAAUAUGAUAUAUGGAUUAAUAUAGCCGUGCCUCGUUACUUUUGCUAUGAUAAUUGGAAGGAAAAAUUGGAACAAGGUGGAGGAAACAUUUUUCUAUGAGAUAUUUCUGUGAACAAUUCUUUUCGAGAUGAAAAAUACAAUAAUAAGGCAUUCGCGAUCUGCAUCGCGUUUUAUGAUUGCUUUCCAAACAUCUAAAACAUUAUUGCCAUUUUGUGAAUGCCGUGAGUCGAUUUAUCUGAAUAAUAUCUGAAAAGAAGAUGUUUUAUAAUCGAUUGACCGAACUCAUCUUGAAGACACUCUAUAUAUAAUACAAUAGCAAAGUCUUGUUUAUUCGAAUAUAUGAAAAAUUUUUUUUAAAUGCACAGAUUAUUCUCAAUCUUAAUUAAAUCGUAGAUAACAACGAUAAUAAACGUUGUUACAAAAAGAUAAAUCUAUAAGAAGAUUAAUCUAAAAAAGGGUUAAAAAAAUUAACUCAACACGUUCAAAAUGAAAAUCAAGUGACCGUGCUCACAUUGUUGUAUGAAACUCUGACAUAAUAACAAGUUCCAGAAAUAACCACGACCAUUUAUUAAUCCCAUUAUUCGAGUCGAUCUCGUUUACUCCCACUAAUCUGGACAUCGAAGGCAAAGUUUGGUCCGAUGGCGUGAUUUAAUCAAGAUCGAAUUUCCCAGAAAUCCUUAAAAGCCUGGCAGCGUUUACGUCUAUACGGAGAUACAGAUCGAGAAAUGCUCGUUCGUUACGCCGCCUAGAAUCAUAAUAUUAGGAAAGCGUUGAACCAAACAGAUAAACGGUUCAAUCGUCGAACGUGUAAAUUAAUUUUUUCGGAAAAAAAAUUGAAAAAAGACUAACUGAGAAAGGAAUGAUUAUCCUGGACUAGAUCUCCGCGAUAUACAGUCUAUUUUAACAAUUAUUAGUGGCAGCAAUUGAAUUCGGAUAGCUGAAUCAUAAUAUCAGGAAAGCGUUGAACCAAACAGGGAUAAACGAUUCAAUCGUCGAACGUGUAAAUUAAUUUCUUCGAUAAAAAAAUUAAGAAAAGAGUAACCGAGAAAGGAAUGAUAUUAUGAUUGGACUGGAUCCCCGAGCUAUACAGUCUAUUUUAACAAUUAUUAGUAGCAGCAAUUGAAUUUAGAUAGCUGAACGGACUUCUGCGAAUUGGAUUCGAACGAGAAAGGAAAUUAUGAGUCAGACGAAAGGAUCUGUGAAAUCGAAUUUCGUUCACCGGUUUAUAUCAUACGAGCUGUAUCUAAAGCUCUCUUUGAACCUCCAUUUUCCUAAGAAUUGAAUUGGAGAAUUGAAGGGGAGGACACAAUAUCGCGCAUAGCUUUUUCCUAAUUUUUCACCAAAUUUUGCGAAGAGAUUUUUCUUUUUUUUUAAAUAAUUUUUUUAGUUAAAAUACAGAGGAAUCGAGAUGACACGGUCUUCGAUUUGGUUUUCAUCCAUAUUUUCUAAAAAAAGAGGAAGAAGACGUUUCCGAGGCGAAGGCCGGAUAUGCGGAAGUUGAUGCGUUGCCAGUUGCGAGAAAUUGUAGGAAUCUCGAUGAUUCGCGGCUCAUUAAAAUUAGCCAGGCUGAAAAUAGAGGAUCCACGAUGUUUGUCAACUAAUGAUUCACAAUGCACGCGGGAUCGAGGUGCCAAAAAUUCGCUGUGGCGCCCGAGGAAACGACAGAUAUCCACUUCCGUUCGAUCGCCUUCUACGUUUCCUCGGACUCGAAACGUUUCGAGAAGGCAUUUCGAGUAAAUUUUACGUUUCGAAGGUUUUGAUUUAGGAACAACGACUGAGAAAGAUAAAAAAGAUUCGUUUCUUUUUUCUUUUCCUCUGUACACGGCAUCGAGACUCUUUAUAAAUUUUAAUCAAAGUUGAGACGACAACGACGCCAAUCUUCUGGCUUUCUUUGCGUAGUUAUACACUAGGUAUAUAUUUCAAGAUUGCUCUUUCGUAAGUCCACACGAAAUUUGUGAUGGAUGUAAAUCUAUAAAUGAGUAUAAUUUACAAGUUUAAUAAUCGUAGUUACGCAAAAUAAGAAAAGAUGAUCGCUUGGGUAAAGUGACCUUCGUUCUACGAAUGUUUCUCAAUUUGUUUUUAUUACUUUUCCCUCGCCCAUGCGUUUCGAAAUAAUUACUUCAUCUCACAAAUGUUUCGCAACUACUCCUUCAUCUUUCUAUUUUUUUUUAUCCACUUUUUAAAACAUCGAACUCAUCGGAAUAUAAACGAUUAUUGUGAAAAUUGCCUCGAAUUAUUUUUGAAAAUAUUUUCUUACAAACUGCCGUGUCACUUGAUCGACGGAUGCAUACGAAUCCUAAAUUCGAAGUUGUGCAAAUAGAAUCGAACCGUCAAUAAUUCUAAUUCUAAUUUCGGUGUGUUCUCUUGGAAUCUGCGGAAAAUUGUUGUCUCAGAGACGUUUCCGCCCGUGGGGAUGCGCGGUUUACGAGCGAUUGGAGACAGGAAGUGCGGAUAAAUGUUUAAACCUCUUCAGCUUUAUGCUUGGUUAUGCGAUUAAAGUUUCUACGUACACAUGGCCACGCGUUAUACGCGUUUUAUGCGUUUUCGAGGGGAUUCUAAAUAAAGCAACAAGAAUUCGGUAGCGUGGUGUUAAGUUGUCCCUUGAUAAAAGAUGGACACGCGGCGUGCACGCCUCCUUCAUCCGAUUGCCGAACGAAUUAAAUUUCGUUUUGGUCGAAAAAAAAAAAAAUAAUCGAAAUAGAGUCUGAUUGAGAUAGAAAUCCAAAAAAAAAAAAAGGAAAUAUUUGAAUUUGGAAGAAAUAAGAUAUAAAAUCGCUUGUGGGAUAAUCGGAUAUUGUAAUCGAAGGGUUUUUCCAAUGCGAAUUUAUUCAAGAUUUAUUUAAAGAUAAAACGAUAAGGUAAAAUGACGGGUGUCGUUUAAUUUAAGAGCGCAAUUGCCCUUACGUGUCACGGUAGAAUCGAUUUAACAAACGGUCUCAUGAACGAGCAGAGAUAAUGGCACACUUUUUAAGCAUCUUGAACGCGCGUUUGAAUUAAACUUAAUUCGAAACUGGCAGAAACUUACUCGAUCUAGAACUGAUUCACGCUUCGUUUGCAACUCGAGUCUCGUAAUAAAACGUACGUGUUUAACUGUUUCGCGGUUUCAACCGAAAUAUAAACUUAUUUCCUCGGCUUCGAUUUGUGGUAUUUCACACCGCAAAAACUUCUUCGUUUAUCAGAAUAUUAUGGAUUAAAUGUGGAAUAUUUCAUAACGCGAUUCUUUUUACAAUAUCGUAUUGUUAUAAAGAAAAUAUAUACAUUUUAGUUUUUGAAAAUUAAAAUAGAUAAGAUAUUUAAACAACACGUAACAAAUGUGUAAUAUUAUAACGUAAUUAUACGUUGCAUCCAUUACUUUUUUAUUAUUUUAUAUGUGUAACAAUGAAAUUCUCUUUCUUGCUUUUUUUUUUUAGUUAAAGUUAUAUUUAACAAGUAUAUUCUCAUAAUAAGUGGUAUAUUGAUAAAAAAAUCCAAUUGAUAAAACUGGUUUGGAUUGGUUACAAGGACUGUUAGAAAAAGAAAGGAUUAAAGGUGCCGUGUCGUAAAAACAUCAUUAACAUAAAAUAACACGCAAUUCAUUGUGAAAAUCUUUGCUUAUCAAAUUUUUAACCAUCGUUGAUCGUUUAUUUAUUUAUUUUUCGAGACAUCUACUUACGUAACAACGAAGACGAAAAAUUAAAAUAUUUAAUAAAAUAAUAAAACUUUUUUUUAAACAAUCAAAAUUUACUUAAAUUACAAAAUUUCUUCCAGAAGAUUGUAUUACAUAUUUUUCCUAAAAAAAAUUUACCUUUCAUCGAACAUAAUUUAUAUAUAUACAUAUCUGAAUCCAAUAUAGAUCCCUUUAUAAUCCCUUAUUAAAAUUUCACGUAGUAGAAACCAGUUACAUACUCCUUCGAUUGCAACUACCUAGAAACGAUAAUAAUAAUAAUAAUAAUAAUAAUAAUAAUAAUAAUAAUAAUACAAAUAGAGCUACGAGAUCGAAAAACGCAGCAAAGGGAUAAACGAUAGAAUUUUUAUCGGCAAAAAUUCGCGAGAAUCCCAGCAGAGCGUGUUUCAGUGUAAACGAUUAUUUCACGAAUACGCGCCGGUUCGAUAUUUGUGGGUAUAUGUAUUUCCUUCUACGACCGAGCAAAGUAACCCGGACAUCUCGAGAUCCAACAGCCCCAAUCCAGUUCGAGCCAGUCCGAUCCAGCAAACGAUCUUCUAGACCACCUGGAUAAGAGAGGGCUCUGCCACUCUCUUAAAAACUUUAAUCCACUCUUUUCUCAUGAAUUGGAUAUGCGUGAAUAAUACGAAAGAAAGGAAAUAAAUAAAAAGAAAAAAAAAAGAGAGAGAAUAUUUACAUCAGUGUCGUGGCAUGAUCGAUUCCGCGAACGUGAUCGUCCAGCCGAAAAACGUAUAGAGAAGGAAGAAAUGGCGGAUGAAAUGAAUUAAAAGGAGAAAUACAUGUGCAAUGCACGUGUCACGGUGAUAAGAAAAAUUUCUUUCGUCGUAUAUGGAUGGAA